CAGGACGAACGCUGGCGGCGUGCCUAAUACAUGCAAGUCGAACGGUCUUUCUAUGGAAGCUUGCUUCCACUGAGAAGAUAGUGGCGAACGGGUGAGUAACACGUGGGUAACCUGCCCAUAAGAGGGGGAUAACAUCCGGAAACGGGUGCUAAUACCGCAUAGUUUUCUUGAUCGCAUGAUCGGGAAAGGAAAGACGGCCUUUGUGCUGUCGCUUAUGGAUGGACCCGCGGCGUAUUAGUUAGUUGGUGAGGUAACGGCUCACCAAGACGAUGAUACGUAGCCGACCUGAGAGGGUGGUCGGCCACAUUGGGACUGAGACACGGCCCAAACUCCUACGGGAGGCAGCAGUAGGGAAUCUUCCGCAAUGGACGAAAGUCUGACGGAGCAACGCCGCGUGAGUGAAAGAAGGUUUUCGGAUCGUAAAACUCUGUUGUCAGAGAAGAACAAGUUGGAGAGUAACUGCUCCAGCCUUGACGGUAUCUGACCAGAAAGCCACGGCUAACUACGUGCCAGCCGCCGC
rnacentral:rRNA from 1 species